GCGCCGGUGGUCUAACGGCUACACGCUAGAAUCAGGAUCAUCUGGUUUCGGCACAGCGUGCUGUAAAUGACAGCGGCCUUCCAAGCCGCUUAUCUGGGUUCGAAUCCCAGCCGGCGCA
rnacentral:tRNA from 1 species